rnacentral:rRNA from 1 species
GAUGAACGCUGGCGGCGUGCCUAAUACAUGCAAGUCGAGCGAACAGACGAGGAGCUUGCUCCUCUGACGUUAGCGGCGGGCGGGUGAGUAACACGUGGAUAACCUACCUAUAAGACUGGGAUAACUUCGGGAAACCGGAGCUAAUACCGGAUAAUAUAUUGAACCGCAUGGUUCAAUAGUGAAAGACGGUUUUGCUGUCACUUAUAGAUGGAUUCGCGCCGCAUUAGCUAGUUGGUAAGGUAACGGCUUACCAAGGCGACGAUGCGUAGCCGACCUGAGAGGGUGAUCGGCCACACUGGAACUGAGACACGGUCCAGACUCCUACGGGAGGCAGCAGUAGGGAAUCUUCCGCAAUGGGCGAAAGCCUGACGGAGCAACGCCGCGUGAGUGAUGAAGGUCUUCGGAUCGUAAAACUCUGUUAUUAGGGAAGAACAAAUGUGUAAGUAACUAUGCACGUCUUGACGGUACCUAAUCAGAAAGCCACGGCUAACUACGUG